GGUUAAGUGACUAAGCGUACAUGGUGGAUGCCUUGGCAGUCAGAGGCGAUGAAGGACGUACUAACCUGCGAUAAGCUGUGAGAAGUCGGUAAGAGACGCUAUUACUCACAGAUUUCCGAAUGGGGAAACCCACCCAAGAUAACUUGGGUAUCUGUUACUGAAUACAUAGGUAACAGAGGCGAACCGGGAGAACUGAAACAUCUAAGUACCCCGAGGAAAAGAAAUCAACCGAGAUUCCCUCAGUAGCGGCGAGCGAACGGGGAUUAGCCCUUAAGCAUCUUGGAAGUUAGUGGAACGGUCCUGGAAAGGCCGGCGAUACAGGGUGAUAGCCCCGUACACGAAAACAACCUUGAUGUGAAAUCGAGUAGGGCGGGACACGUGACAUCCUGUCUGAAUAUGGGGGGACCAUCCUCCAAGGCUAAAUACUCCUGACUGACCGAUAGUGAACCAGUACCGUGAGGGAAAGGCGAAAAGAACCCCUGUGAGGGGAGUGAAAUAGAACCUGAAACCGUGUACGUACAAGCAGUGGGAGCCCUUCGGGGUGACUGCGUACCUUUUGUAUAAUGGGUCAGCGACUUACAUUUUGUAGCGAGGUUAACCGUAUAGGGGAGCCGUAGGGAAACCGAGUCUUAACUGGGCGUCUAGUUGCAAGGUGUAGACCCGAAACCGGGUGAUCUAGCCAUGGGCAGGUUGAAGGUUGAGUAACAUCAACUGGAGGACCGAACCCACUAACGUUGCAAAGUUAGGGGAUGACCUGUGGCUGGGGGUGAAAGGCCAAUCAAACUCGGAGAUAGCUGGUUCUCCCCGAAAGCUAUUUAGGUAGCGCCUCGGACGAAUACUACUGGGGGUAGAGCACUGUUUGGGCUAGGGGGUCAUCCCGACUUACCAACCCCAUGCAAACUCCGAAUACCAGUAAGUAAUAUCCGGGAGACACACGGCGGGUGCUAACGUCCGUCGUGAAGAGGGAAACAACCCAGACCGCCGGCUAAGGUCCCAAAGUUCUGGUUAAGUGGGAAACGAUGUGGGAAGGCUCAGACAGCUAGGAUGUUGGCUUAGAAGCAGCCAUCAUUUAAAGAAAGCGUAAUAGCUCACUAGUCGAGUCGGCCUGCGCGGAAGAUGUAACGGGGCUCAAACCAGGCACCGAAGCCGCGGAUUCACACUUAUGUGUGAGUGGUAGGGGAGCGUUCUGUAAGUCUGCGAAGGUGUAUCGAGAGGUAUGCUGGAGAUAUCAGAAGUGCGAAUGCUGACGUAAGUAACGAUAAAGGGGGUGAAAAGCCUCCUCGCCGGAAGACCAAGGGUUCCUGUCCAACGUUAAUCGGGGC
rnacentral:rRNA from 1 species